UACGGGGGGGCAAGCGGUUGUUCGGAAUUACUGGGCGUAAAGGGCUCGUAGGCGGCCAACUAAGUCGGACGUGAAACUCCCGAGCCACUCAACCUGGGAACUGCGUCUGAUACUGGAUGGCUUGAAUCCGGGAGAGGGAUGCAGAAUUCCAGGUGUAGCGGUGAAAUGCGUAGAUAUCUGGAGGAAUACCGGUGGCGAAGGCGGCAUCCUGGACCGGCAUUGACGCUGAGGAGCGAAAGCCAGGGGAGCAAACGGG
rnacentral:rRNA from 1 species